GACAACGCUGAAAGGAAGAAAUUCAUUUGAGGUCAUAUUCGGGUUGACUGCUAACAAAAGGCUGAUAAGCUUGACUUUUAAAGCAACACAAAGGGCAGGUUCAUGAAACUCACUGAGUCAAAGAGAUUUAUGCAGCCUGUGACCCCGGCAAAAGGGAAUGUAAUGAGCUCUAAGUUCAGGCGUGGUAUUGCUCCUGGUUCUACAACGUUAGAGAAGGGAGACAUUAUUCAUAAGCUGAUGAGUUGGAAGCGGUGGAAGAGGUGCUUACUUCAGGUUUCAUGCGGUUGUUAUUGUAACAAACAUCAGAGAGAUGCUUCUUUAAAAGGCCCCUUCAUUGCCAUUUUCCAUCCAUUCACCACAUGCCCUCGGACUUUCCCUCCUUUCCCCACACACCUGUUUCAUUUCCCUCAUUUUCUCUGCAGUUGCCUGACCUUCCCCACCCUCCUCCUCAUCUGCAUCUCAUUCGCUCAUCAGCCGCUCGGUUCAUAUAACGGCCCAGUUCCAUUCAUUUCCUGCCAGACCAUCAAAGUUGCCAUGUGCUUUGUACCGUUGAUUUCAAGUCACCGGAACCUGAACCUUACCCAUAGUCUGACCCUUUCCAUGGACCUGCCUACUACCUAUCUGAAACUACCUGCCUGUAAGCCUUUACACAACUCCACAUUUGAAAUAAAUCAUUGAACUGCAUCUGCUCUGUUAACUUCAUCUGCAUUUGGGUCCUACUACUACUACUACUACUAUUAUAGUGACACUGCUCUAUUGUCGAUCACACUGCUCACACAGCUAUUGAAUAACGUGGUAUUCAUUGAUUUCUUUACGAGAUCAUUUUGCAACAGAGGUCAGAGGUCACAGUCAAAUACAGGUCCAGCACCACUGCAGGAUACGGUGCUUUGGUUGAGGGCACUUUAGCUGUACAGAUACUUGCUGACACAUGGACACAUCUCUGGUUCAAAGAUCAUCUUCAAUUGUGCUACCCUGUCUUAAAAUUAUGUAAAGUGAUACAUACUGUGUGCUGUGUUAUAACAAACCAGUAUUUGUGUCUUCUGCUGUCAUGCUUGUGCUUUCUUUGUCAGGAUGUAAGCCUAGUUUGAAAUAAAGCAUUAAGCAACA